AGUCGAGCGGUAGCACAGAGAGCUUGCUCUCGGGUGACGAGCGGCGGACGGGUGAGUAAUGUCUGGGAAACUGCCUGAUGGAGGGGGAUAACUACUGGAAACGGUAGCUAAUACCGCAUAACGUCGCAAGACCAAAGUGGGGGACCUUCGGGCCUCAUGCCAUCAGAUGUGCCCAGAUGGGAUUAGCUAGUAGGUGGGGUAACGGCUCACCUAGGCGACGAUCCCUAGCUGGUCUGAGAGGAUGACCAGCCACACUGGAACUGAGACACGGUCCAGACUCCUACGGGAGGCAGCAGUGGGGAAUAUUGCACAAUGGGCGCAAGCCUGAUGCAGCCAUGCCGCGUGUGUGAAGAAGGCCUUCGGGUUGUAAAGCACUUUCAGCGGGGAGGAAGGCGAUAAGGUUAAUAACCUUGUCGAUUGACGUUACCCGCAGAAGAAGCACCGGCUAACUCCGUGCCAGCAGCCGCGGUAAUACGGAGGGUGCAAGCGUUAAUCGGAAUUACUGGGCGUAAAGCGCACGCAGGCGGUCUGUCAAGUCGGAUGUGAAAUCCCCGGGCUCAACCUGGGAACUGCAUUCGAAACUGGCAGGCUAGAGUCUUGUAGAGGGGGGUAGAAUUCCAGGUGUAGCGGUGAAAUGCGUAGAGAUCUGGAGGAAUACCGGUGGCGAAGGCGGCCCCCUGGACAAAGACUGACGCUC
rnacentral:rRNA from 1 species